CUACGGGAGGCAGCAGUGAGGAAUUUUGCGCAAUGGGGGAAACCCUGACGCAGCAACGCCGCGUGAGCGAAGAAGGCCUUCGGGUCGUAAAGCUCUGUCAAGUGGGAAAAAAAUUCUUUGAUGAACAGUCAAAGGACUUGAUGGUACCACUGGAGGAAGCACCGGCUAACUCCGUGCCAGCAGCCGCGGUAAUACGGAGGGUGCAAGCGUUGUUCGGAAUUACUGGGCGUAAAGAGCGUGUAGGCGGUUUGACAAGUCAGAUGUGAAAGCCCCGGGCUCAACCCUGGAAGUGCAUUUGAAACUGUUUCACUAGAGUAUGGGAGAGGAGAUUGGAAUUCCUGGUGUAGAGGUGAAAUUCGUAGAUAUCAGGAGGAACACCCGUGGCGAAGGCGAUUCUCUGGACCAAUACUGACGCUGUGACGCGAAAGCGUGGGGAGCAAACAGGAUUAGAUACCCGUGUAGUC
rnacentral:rRNA from 1 species